rnacentral:rRNA from 1 species
GGGGAAUAUUGGGCAAUGGGCGAAAGCCUGACCCAGCAACGCCGCGUGAAGGAAGAAGGCCCUCGGGUUGUAAACUUCUUUUAUCAGGGACGAAACAAAUGACGGUACCUGAUGAAUAAGCCACGGCUAACUACGUGCCAGCAGCCGCGGUAAUACGUAGGUGGCAAGCGUUAUCCGGAUUUACUGGGUGUAAAGGGCGUGUAGGCGGGACUGCAAGUCAGAUGUGAAAACUAUGGGCUCAACCCAUAGCCUGCAUUUGAAACUGUGGUUCUUGAGUGAUGGAGAGGCAGGCGGAAUUCCGUGUGUAGCGGUGAAAUGCAUAGAUAUCACGAGGAACUCCGAUUGCGCAGGCAGCUUACCAAGCCGUAACUGACGCUCAAGCACGAAGGCGUGGGGAUCAAACA